GACGAACGCUGGCGGCGUGCUUUACACAUGCAAGUCGAACGGUGAAGGUGGAGCUUGCUCCGCCGGAUCAGUGGCGAACGGGUGAGUAACACGUGGGCAACCUGCCCCUAACUUUGGGAUAACUACUCGAAAGAGUAGCUAAUACCGGAUAUGAAGUCUGUAGGCAUCUAUGGAUUUGGAAAGUUUUUCGGUUAGGGAUGGGCCCGCGGCCUAUCAGCUUGUUGGUGAGGUAGUGGCUCACCAAGGCGACGACGGGUAGCCGGCCUGAGAGGGCGACCGGCCACACUGGGACUGAGACACGGCCCAGACUCCUACGGGAGGCAGCAGUGGGGAAUAUUGCGCAAUGGGCGAAAGCCUGACGCAGCAACGCCGCGUGCGGGAUGAAGGCCUUCGGGUUGUAAACCUCUUUUAGCGGGGAAGAAGCGAAAGUGACGGUACCUGCAGAAAAAGCACCGGCUAACUACGUGCCAGCCGCCGCCGUAA
rnacentral:rRNA from 1 species